GGGAUGAAUUCUUUGCUUACACCUAAUUAAAGUCUUGUAUAAUUGUACAUAUUUUCAAGAUAGAUACCUGGCUGUGUUCAUUUUGGGGCUCAACAUCUGUAUAACACACAGAAAUCCACCAAGUUUCAGAUGCUACAAAAAUUCCAUCCUGUCCUCUCUGAGCAGGUGGCCUCACCAAUUUGUCCAUGAAUUUCACCUCUCCAGAACUCUACACCAAUAGAGAAAGAUAGAAACAGUCUGGAGAGUCCACUCACCUUGAAGUAACCUGCUCAUUGGCACAAAUAACCACAAGCUGGUCAUUUCAAAAAAUGUCAUCUGGCUGAAAGUAUGAGAAGUUGACUUCAUCUA